rnacentral:misc_RNA from 1 species
AAUUCUAGGAAAACACGAAGUGUGAUUUCAACUAUUUAAUUUUAAAUACCGAUCACGUUAUUUCCUUUACUUUAUAGCUGAAUGAUCAACGUUAUAUCAUGUAUCCAAUUAUAAUUGCAAUUUGUCCUGUAUUUCAAACAAUUUCCUUAACCGAGAAACUUAUGUGCCUGGAAAGAAUAUUAAAUGAAAUUCGAUUCUUCUAACAUUCUCACGGCUCUUUUCCGCUUAAUUAUCGUUGAUCUAAAGCUGUUUAAUUAUGUUAAUUUAUACGAAAAUACUCCCAUCUUGCAUAUUAAAGUAUACUUACUGAUCAAAUAAACAUUUAGCAAUUAAGGCCGCGAUAUCGCGUGCGCGGAUAUUCUCUCAAUGCACGUGAUAUCGCAUGAGAAGUAUCCACAGUGCAAUGUCGAAUUUUACAUUAUUGUAACCUACAUCUUCUGCCAGAAUUUUCCAGAAUUAAUUAAAAAUAAAAAAUGUUACCAUCAGUAGAAAAUAGUGCUGCCACCUGUAAAGACACGUGAAACUAUUCCAUGCGUCAACCAGAAUGCACCAAGUGACAUGCAUACACUAACACAUGAAAGUGGAAGCUAGUCGUUGAAUUACAGAAUAUUAAAUUAGUUGUGUGUAGUAUGAGAGUACAACUGCCACACUGCCUUACAAAACAUGGGAGAUAAAGAGCAGCAUCACGUACACUUUAGCGGGGGAAGCGGUCUCGGGAAAGAUAACAAUAUUAUGAUACAACCGCAACGACAUGGACAAAUAGAUGCACAUCUUGGAUUUUUGCAACUUCAUCACAGAUAUCACGUGGAAUUCUCGAUUCCGUGGAAUGAAUGUACACAUAGAAAUGGAAAGAAUAACCCUCCAGCAAUAGCGACAGGACCCCCUAACCCUAAUUGUCGCAUUAUUGAAUUGAAACAAGAAAAAGAUGGCCUAAAGUUAAAAAUAGAGUUUUUAGCGUAUAAGGAAAAGAUUUUGAAGGAAGAAGUGCAAAUAAUGUGUUGCAAGGAAGGAACCCCAUUGCACAUUCAACUGAACACCCGCGUUUUGGGAAAAGACAAGGGUACACCGUUGCUGAGGAAUGGGAUACACAACAUUGGCGUGGACAAAGCGAACAUGGAUGAGGUCUCCGAGUAGAUCUCGUUGAUAAAAAUAUCGUUGUUUGAAAAUGUACGAGUCGAAUGUUUCUUUUCACAGAAAUUUCUGACGUGGUGCAGCUCUUGAUCACAGUGUAAACUGGAACCGUACCUGCCGGCUUCCGGCCGUACAAGAACGAUGAUCGGUUCUUCAACAGUGUCUCUGCCAACGUAAAAUCAAUGGAUUAAUUUGGAUAGCGACAACGAACAGCUUUCAUCGUUUUCUCCUACCCGUCUCUGCAAAGGACGUUCAUCA